GAGCGCUUCAAUCAUUUUUUCAGAGCUCCAAGUCUGCCUCUUCUGCCUACUGGUAUCUAUGCUUUACUCAGCAAUUUCCACCAUCUUACAGCCUGAAUUGAUUAAUAGCUUUCACCUGUGAGCUCAAUAACAACGAUUUAAAGUUAAAAAUCACUUCAAAGCGCAAAAAAAGAGACGAUAAAUUUAUAUUUCACAAUUCACAUAGUACUGAAGUUUCAGAGCUAAAGAGUUCUGUAAAAGUUGUAACAAACUGAAGCAUGAGAAAUCUGCAAAACAAAAUGCAUGAACAACCUGAAAAAAAAAAUAAGAGAGCGGGGGGCGGAGGGGAAGAAGAAAGUUGGAUUUAUAACAGAUAUUGCAUAAAAUGGAACAAGAAAGACUCCCAAAAAGAGGUCCCUAAGCUUCAGAUUCGUGAUCUAAAAUCUAUAUUCUAUUCAUCAUUAUUGUUUACCUCAGUAAAGUCAUAAAGAGUGAUGAAAGCUUUACAUAAGAUGCUGGGAACUAGUUUUUUAUAUAAAUGUUUCUUUCUUAGAUAGAGACACCUUACAAGACUUACCACAAAUUUGCUGCCCCCUUUCUGAUAAGAACAUUUUCAAGAUCUU
rnacentral:lncRNA from 1 species